GACGAACGCUGGCGGCGUGCUUAGCACAUGCAAGUCGAACGGAAAGGCCCUGCUUUUGUGGGGUGCUCGAGUGGCGAACGGGUGAGUAACACGUGAGUAACCUGCCCUUGACUUUGGGAUAACUUCAGGAAACUGGGGCUAAUACCGGAUAGGAGCUCCUGCUGCAUGGUGGGGGUUGGAAAGUUUCGGCGGUUGGGGAUGGACUCGCGGCUUAUCAGCUUGUUGGUGGGGUAGUGGCUUACCAAGGCUUUGACGGGUAGCCGGCCUGAGAGGGUGACCGGCCACAUUGGCACUGAGAUACGGCCCAGACUCAUACGGGAGGCAGGAGUGGGGAAUAAUGCACAAUGGGCGGAAGCAUGAUGCAGCAACGCAGCGUGCGGGAUGACGGCAUUCGGGUUGUAAACCGCUUUCGCCUGUGACGAAGCGUGAGUGACGGUAAUGGGUAAAGAAGCACCGGCUAACUACGU
rnacentral:rRNA from 1 species